rnacentral:tRNA from 1 species
AUUUAAAUAGCCUAAUAAGGGCGCUACAUUGAAGGAGUAGAGGUGAACUUUCUUUGAAUA